GAUGAACGCUGGCGGCGUGCCUAAUACAUGCAAGUCGAGCGAACAGACGAGGAGCUUGCUCCUCUGACGUUAGCGGCGGACGGGUGAGUAACACGUGGAUAACCUACCUAUAAGACUGGGAUAACUUCGGGAAACCGGAGCUAAUACCGGAUAAUAUAUUGAACCGCAUGGUUCAAUAGUGAAAGACGGUCUUGCUGUCACUUAUAGAUGGAUCCGCGCUGCAUUAGCUAGUUGGUAAGGUAACAGCUUACCAAGGCAACGAUGCGUAGCCGACCUGAGAGGGUGAUCGGCCACACUGGAACUGAGACACGGUCCAGACUCCUACGGGAGGCAGCAGUAGGGAAUCUUCCGCAAUGGGCGAAAGCCUGACGGAGCAACGCCGCGUGAGUGAUGAAGGUCUUCGGAUCGUAAAACUCUGUUAUUAGGGAAGAACAAAUGUGUAAGUAACUAUGCACAUCUUGACGGUACCUAAUCAGAAAGCCACGGCUAACUACGUG
rnacentral:rRNA from 1 species